AUGGCCUACUUCGACGAGAAAGCGAAGGAAGAUCCAGAUUUCUUCUACAGGAUAAGGUUGGACGAUGAGGACCGUGUCAGGAACAUGUAUUGGGUGGAUGGUGCUGCAAGGAGAGCCUACAAACAUUUCCGAGAUUGCAUUUCAUUUGAUGCGACGUGUCUCACUAAUAUGUACAAGAUGCCAUGCGCUCCGUUCAUAGGAAUAAAUAACCACAAUUAGUCGUUGCAGUUCGGCUGCGGGCUCAUUCGGAACGAAGACACGGAUGGGUACGGUUGGCUGUUCAAGACCUUUUUGGAGUGCAUGGAUGGACUUGCUUCGAUGAACAUAAUAACAUACCAGGAUUUCAGCAUGCGUGCAGGCAUAGAGGAGGUCUUUCCGUUGGCAGUGCACAGGCACUGCAAGUGGCACAUUAUAAAGAAGGCUGAGGAGACGCUAGGACCGUUCUUUGCUGACCGUCCAGAGCUCCACAAGGCAUUCGAGCUGUGCGUGGACCACAGCUUGACGGUGGAGGAGUUUGAAAGGAGCUGGAUGGCCAUGAUUGAAACAUAUCAAGUCCAAGACAACGAGACGCUUGCUAGCCUGUGGGAGAAGCGAAUGUACUGGGUGCCAGCCUACUUCAUGCAAUGCUUUUUCCCCUUUCUGCAGACUACGCAGCGCAGCGAGGGGUUCAAUGUUGUUUUUAAGCGGUACGUGAGCCCUGGCAACUCAUUGCUACAGUUUGCCAAGCAAUACAUAGCUUUGCAACAAAAAAUUCUGGGAUCUAAGCUACAGCAAGAAGCAACCACUGCGCUAAAGCAGCCAAAAUUGCUAACAUAUUUACCGAUGGAGAGGCAAAUGAGCAAGAUAUACACCAACAAGAUCUUUAACAAAUAA
rnacentral:rRNA from 1 species